GAUGAACGCUGGCGGCGCGCCUAACACAUGCAAGUCGAACGGUUAAAGCACCUUUUAGGUGUGUAUAAAGUGGCGAACGGCUGAGUAACACGUGGGCAACCUGCCCUCCUCUUGGGGAUAGCCUCGGGAAACCGAGGAUAAUACCCGAUACUUCAAUGUGGCCGCAUGACGACAUUGAGAAAGCUUUUGCGGAGAAGGAUGGGCCCGCGGCCUGUUAGCUUGUUGGUGGGGUAGAGGCCUACCAAGGCAAUGAUGGGUAGCUGGGUUGAGAGACCGACCAGCCAGAUUGGGACUGAGACACGGCCCAGACUCCUACGGGAGGCAGCAGUGGGGAAUCUUGCACAAUGGGCGAAAGCCUGAUGCAGCGACGCCGCGUGCGGGACGAAGGCCUUCGGGUUGUAAACCGCUUUCAGCAGGGACGAGGCGAUAAGUGACGGUACCUGCAGAAGAAGCCCCGGCUAACUACGUGCCAGCAGCCGCGGUAAUACGUAGGGGGCAAGCGUUAUCCGGAAUUAUUGGGCGUAAAGAGUGCGUAGGUGGUUACCUAAGCGCAAGGUUUAAAUUAGAGGCUCAACCUUUACAUGCCUUGCGAACUGGGCUACUUGAGUGCAGGAGGGGAAAGCGGAAUUCCUAGUGUAGCGGUGAAAUGCGUAGAUAUUAGGAGGAACACCGGCGGCGAAGGCGGCUUUCUGGACUGUAACUGACACUGAGGCACGAAAGCGUGGGUAGCAAACAGG
rnacentral:rRNA from 1 species